rnacentral:rRNA from 1 species
AUUAAACGCUGGCGGCAUGCCUUACACAUGCAAGUCGAACGGCAGCACGGGGGCAACCCUGGUGGCGAGUGGCGGACGGGUGAGUAAAGCAUCGGAACGUAUCCUGGAGUGGGGGAUAACGUAGCGAAAGUUACGCUAAUACCGCAUAUUCUGUGAGCAGGAAAGCAGGGGAUCGCAAGACCUUGCGCUCUGGGAGCGGCCGAUGUCGGAUUAGCUAGUUGGUGGGGUAAAGGCCUACCAAGGCGACGAUCCGUAGCGGGUCUGAGAGGAUGAUCAGCCACACUGGAACUGAGACACGGUCCAGACUCCUACGGGAGGCAGCAGUGGGGAAUCUUGCGCAAUGGGAGCAAUCCUGACGCAGCAACGCCGCGUGGGUGAUGAAGGUCUUCGGAUCGUAAAGCCCUGUCGGAGGGGAAGAUGCUUGGAACGUCUAAUAGAUGAGCCAGGUGACGGUACCAUCAGAAUAAGCACCGGCU